UAACUUUAAGAGUAUGCAUGCACUGUUAAUUUUGGUUAGGAUUUUUUUAAACUUUUUAUGCUUGAUAUGAUAUAUCAUACAUAAUGUAAUAGAAUUAGCAACAAUGGUUAAGUUUCGAAAAGUUUACUUUAAAGGUAUCUCGUACACAAAAUAUUUCAAAAAGCUUUCUUUGAAAAAUAGUUAAAACCGGGUUUUAAUUGUUCCUUGUCCGAACUUAGCAAAACGCGUGUUGAGUCUAAAUUUGUUUAAUGAAUAAACAUUUCUUUUUAAAAUUUACCAGCAUAUUUUCUUUCAGCCUUUCCGAUAUAUUUGAAUGCGAUAUAUGAAAAAUCGUUAUUUCCCCUUUAAUAUUCGAAAAUCGUUGUUAGAAUGUAUGCUUCAUAAAUCCGUAUUUAAAAUAAAUUAUUGUUCUAUUAGACUCUCACUGUUUCCGAUAAGGUAAAUUCGAUGGAUACCUAAACCAUGUAUCUACAUAGACAUUUAAAUCGUUUUAAAAUUAAUAAAAUACUUUUAGACUACCGCAAGAUAUCUACCAGACUGCUAAAGUAGCCAAGAUUCUUUUACUUAUGGAAAAAGGCAAGGGAAAUCGGUACCGAGAAAAAAAAUGAAGUGAAAUCAAUAUAGAUGAUAACGAAUACUAUAGCUCUGAAUACGAAGGCGAUGAAGAACCGAUUAUGCAGAAGGUGCUAAAGCGGGUUACAAGGGGAAAAAACCUGAAGACGAAUUAGAUACUGGAGAUUCUGACAGAUAUGUGUAUCAGUCAACGGAACGUGAUCAACAUAAUGAAAACACAUUAUCAAGAAAUUAUUUUAAAAAGGCGACUAGGCCGUUUCACGAAUCUAACGAAGAAAAUAGUGAAGAACCACCAACAAAAAAAACUAAAGAAUCAACCACGAAAUCCAUCCAGAGAUUCAGAGCCAAAUGGUCAGAUAAUGAAAAACAAGUUUUACUUCAGUACUUUGAAAAACAUAUUGAAAAAAAAAUUACCCCUCGGAAACAUGAAUGUGACGAACUACUGAAACUACAUCCACACGUGUUCGAAAAUAAGGACUGGGUCCGAAUAAAAACAUAUGUGUAUAAUACAUUCCUUGAAAGGAAGUGAUUGCUUAUUUUUAUUUUUACUGAACCACAUACUCGUAAUAGAUUAUUUUUAGUUCCAAUAAAUUACUUUUAAAUAA